rnacentral:lncRNA from 1 species
AAAAAAAAAACUGAAAUGAUCCUAUAAAAAUAUAUUAGAAUAACACAGCACUACACCUAUGUAUAUUUUUAAUUUAUAAAUAUAAAUGUUAUUCUAUUUUUGAAAAAAGUUAACGUUAUUACCAAAUUGAAAUGAUAUAAAAAAAAACUUUAUUUCGUAUCUGAAUAUUCCAAAAUCCAUCAAACACUUAUAGGCCUACUUGUACAUAUGGACUUGCAUACGGUUGGUUUCUAUCCCCCACAGCUCACAUGUUAUGGUUUAUAAGCCAUGUUUGUGCCAUAUUUUACACUGUACUCAUGUUUAUUCAAAGAAUU